CUUUCUGCUAUGACAAGGCACCACUGAGUUCAGUGCAGCGUCUCACAAUUGCUGCACUCUUCCUCUCCAAAGUACACAGAUUCAUUCUCCAUGCCAUGCAGCAGCUGCCAGGGAAUACGGGGGGAAGAGUGGCAUCAGUGAUUCAAGACUGUCUCCUACCCUCUUCAGUGCCUCUUUCAGCAAUAUGAAUUUAAAACUAGGCCUUUGGACUCACACUGGAACUAACACCAUUGGCUUUCCUCAGUCUCCGGCCUUUGCACUUGGACUAGAAUUCUAUCAUUGGCUCUCCUAUGUCUCCACCUUGCCAAAUGAAGAUCUUGGGACUUCUCAGACUUCAUAAUCAUACAGAGUCUCACCUUGUGGCCCAGACUGGAAUACAGUGGUGCAAACAUGGCUCACUGCAGCCUUGACCUCCUGGGCUCAAGCGAUCUUCCCACCUCAGCCCCCUAAGUAGCUGGGACUACAGGUGUGCACCACUAUGCCCAGCUAAUUUUUGUAUUUUGGUAGAGAUGGGGUUUCUUCAUGUUACCCAGGCUGGUCUUAAACUCCUGAGUUAAGCCAUCCUCCUGACUCAGCCUCCCAAAGUGCUGGGAUUACAGGUGUGAGCCAUGGUGCCCAGCUACAUUUUCAUACUUUGUGUUUAAGCCAGGUAAAUGAAUACCUACUCAAACAAUUUUGAUACAUGUUUUUAAGUGAAAAAAAAAAACUCCUAAUCAUAACUAAAGAGUGAAAUAGGAAGGUUAUGUAAACAAUUUGCCAACUUGCAGAAAUAAAUUUCACUGGUAAAUCUGUUCAUAAUUUUUGUAUAUACUUAAAUAUCACUUUAAGAGGAAAAUGCAUUUGUGAUCUCUUCAGCCUAGGUCAAAUUCUUCUGUCAUAUACUUAUGACACUUAUAUCCAUUUACUUAUGACACAUAUCCAUUUAUACAUAUAUCCAUUUUGUACUUCCUUGGAGCACUCUUAAUAAUUAGUUAAAUAAUCAACUACCAAGAAAUUAAUCUUCCAUCCUAGAAUGAAAGCAUCAAGAGGGCAGUGGCCAGGCCAGCCUUGCUGACUUCUAUAUCUCAUAGUGUCUACACAGAGGAUGCUCUACAUUGGAGGAGGAGUUGGUGUUUCAAAAUCUAAAUGUUUUAUUUCUAGUAAGAGGGUAAAAAUAGCUAUGGCCAUCUCACUGCUACUUAGGUAGAGGGACUGAGGAGUACGCUUUCUGAUCUUUCCACUGCUCUGCGGCUUCCUGCAGGUAUUUUUGCUUUAAGAAAAGAGAGGGGAGUAAGAGCCCAUUUGCCCGGGACAACUGAAGUCUCAAAAGCUGAUGAUGUCCUCUUGAAUAAAGUUUUGGAAUUUUUCCCAUG
rnacentral:lncRNA from 1 species